rnacentral:rRNA from 1 species
UACAGAGGGUGCAAGCGUUAAUCGGAAUUACUGGGCGUAAAGCGUGCGCAGGCGGUUCGUUGUGUCGGCGGUGAAAGCCCCGGGCUUAACCUGGGAAUGGCCGUUGAAACUGGCGAACUGGAGUGUGGCAGAGGGGGGUGGAAUUCCGCGUGUAGCAGUGAAAUGCGUAGAUAUGCGGAGGAACACCGAUGGCGAAGGCAAUCCCCCUGGGCCUGCAUCGAGCUCAUGCACGAAAGCGUGGGGAGCAAACAGG